GAUGAAGAACGUAGCGAAAUGCGAUACUUGGUGUGAAUUGCUGAAUCCCGUGAACCAUCAAGUUUUUGAACGCAAGUUGCGCCCGAAGCCAUUAGGCCGAGGGCACGCCUGCCUGGGUGUCACACAUUGUUGCCCCAAUGCCAAUCGCCUCACUUUGUAGGUAUUUGCUUGGGGUGAAUGUUGGCCUCCCGUGAGCUCUGUCUCACGGUUGGUUGAAAAUCGAGUGCAUGGUGUCGGGUGUACCAUGAUGGAUGGUGGUUGAGUGAUGCUCGAGGCCAAUCAUGGGUAACUCCACCAGAAUUGUGCUCGGUGACCCACAUCAAGUCAGGCGGGGCUACCCGCUGAGUUUAAGCAUAUCAUAAGCGGAGGA
rnacentral:misc_RNA from 1 species